UUACUCGGGUUUCUCUUCAUAACGCACAAGUCUUUCGCCUUUUACUAAAGACUUCCGUGGAGAGGAACACCAAUGAGUUGAAGAUAUUUUUGGCAGGCUUUGCCGUUUGGCUGAGCCUCGUGCAUGUGUGAAAAGCA
rnacentral:snRNA from 1 species